rnacentral:rRNA from 1 species
UACAGAGGUCCCAAGCGUUGUUCGGAUUCACUGGGCGUAAAGGGUGCGUAGGUGGUGAGGUAAGUUUGAUGUGAAAGCUCCGGGCUUAACCCGGAAAAUGCAUUGAAUACUACCUUGCUAGAGGGUUGGAGGGGAGACUGGAAUUCUCGGUGUAGCAGUGAAAUGCGUAGAUAUCGAGAGGAACACCAGUGGCGAAGGCGAGUCUCUGGACAACUCCUGACACUGAGGCACGAAAGCUAGGGGAGCAAACAGG